UACAGAGGGGGCUAGCGUUGCUCGGAAUCACUGGGCGUAAAGGGUGCGUAGGCGGGUCUUUAAGUCAGGGGUGAAAUCCUGGAGCUCAACUCCAGAACUGCCUUUGAUACUGAAGAUCUUGAGUUCGGGAGAGGUGAGUGGAACUGCGAGUGUAGAGGUGAAAUUCGUAGAUAUUCGCAAGAACACCAGUGGCGAAGGCGGCUCGCUGGCCCGAUACUGACGCUGCGGCACGAAAGCGUGGGGAGCAAACAGG
rnacentral:rRNA from 1 species